rnacentral:tmRNA from 1 species
GGGGGUGAAAUAGGUUCGACAGGGGAGGCUAAGUCCGUACUGCAAGUCGCGGCGCCUAACACCGCGUUAUCAAUGGGCAAAGGCAUAACUGCCAACAACAACACUUACGCUCUGCCGAUGGCCGCCUAAGGCCUAAAGCCGAGCGCUGGCCUUGCGAGGUCAGCCGUCCGCGCCAGCCGUCCCCAUCCGGGUGGAUCCGCGGGCGUCACCAAAGAUCGGGGUGCGGUUUAUUGACGCCGAUACGAUAAACCAAAGACACAUCGGCUAGUCACAGGCAUACCCCGCCGGUUGGGGCUGCCUGCGGCGAAAGCAAAGAACCGGCUAAACUUGUAGACGUGCGUCCUUGAAUCUUCUGGACGGGGAUUGCAAAGUCCCCCACCUCCACUG